AUAGUCUUGCUAUGUUAUGCCCGCCUCUUCACGGGUAGGUCAAUUUCACUGGUUGAAAGUAAGAGACAGCUGAACCCUCGUGGAGCCAUUCAUACAAGUCCCUAUUUAAGGAACAAGUGAUUAUGCUACCUUUGCACGGUUAGGGUACCGCGGCCGUUAAACAUAUGUCACCGGGCAGGCGGUGCCUCUAAUACUGAUAAUGCUAGAGGUGAUGUUUUUGGUAAACAGGCGGGGUAAGAUUUGCCGAGUUCCUUUUACUUUUUUUAACCUUUCCUUGUGGGCAUGCCUGUGUUGGGUUAACAGUGAGGGUAAUAAUGGCUUGUUGGUUGAUUGUAGAUAUUGGGCUGUUAAUUUGUAAG
rnacentral:lncRNA from 1 species